CACCGCCUGGGGAGUACGACCGCAAGGUUAAAACUCAAAUGAAUUGACGGGGACCCGCACAAGUAGUGGAGCAUGUGGUUUAAUUCGAAGAUACGCGCAGAACCUUACCAACACUUGACAUGUUCGUCGCGACUCUAAGAGAUUAGAGUUUUCGGUUCGGCCGGACGAAACACAGGUGCUGCAUGGCUGUCGUCAGCUCGUGUCGUGAGAUGUUGGGUUAAGUCCCGCAACGAGCGCAACCCUCACUUUUAGUUGCCAUCAUUUAGUUGGGCACUCUGAAAGAACUGCCAGUGAUAAGCUGGAGGAAGGUGGGGAUGACGUCAAGUCCUCAUGGCCCUUACGUGUUGGGCUACACACGUGCUACAAUGGCAUUUACAAUAGGAAGCAAGAUGGCGACAUUAAGCAAAUCCUAAAAAAAUGCCUCAGUUCGGAUUGUACUCUGCAACUCGAGUACAUGAAGCUGGAAUUACUAGUAAUCGCGGAUCAGCGCGCCGCGGUGAAUACGUUCCCGGGUCUUGUACACACCGCCCGUCACACCAUGGGAGUUGGUUCUACCUUAAGGCAAAGCUUAAUACCUUUGACCACGGUAUAGUCAGCGACUGGGGUGAAGUCGUAACAAGGUAGCCGUAGGGGAACCUGCGGCUGGAUUACCUCCUUUCUAAGGAUGAUUAAGGAUUAUUUCUUAAUCUAAAUAUUUUACAGGUUAAUGUUGACCGUCCUCAUUUCUCUUCUUAAAAAUGUGUUUCUCUUUUCUGCAUAAGGGCCGGUAGCUCAGUUGGUUAGAGCACACCCUUGAUAAGGGUGGGGUCGAAAGUUCGAGUCUUUCUCGGCCCACCAAUUUUAUGGGGGAUUAGCUCAGCUGGGAGAGCGCCUGAUUUGCAUUCAGGAGGUCAGCGGUUCGAUCCCGCUAUCCUCCACCAAGAAACACUUAGUUAUUUUUUUUGUGAAUACUUUUUUAAUUAAUAUCAAUAUCUAUAUCCGAUUGUUCGAAUAGAUGAACAAUCACAAAAUGUUUAAAUAUUUUGAACAUUUUAAAAAAAUUUGAUUCAACACAGAAUUUUUUUCUG
rnacentral:sRNA from 1 species